rnacentral:snRNA from 1 species
GUGCUCCCUUUGGCAGCACAUGUACUAAAAUUGGAACGAUACAGAGAAGGUUAGCAUGGCCCCUGUGUAAGGAUGACACGCAAAUUCGUGAAGGAAGCUGGGCAUGG